rnacentral:rRNA from 1 species
AUACGGGGGGUGCAAGCGUUAAUCGGAAUUACUGGGCGUAAAGCGCGCGUAGGCGGUUUGCUCAGUCGGAUGUGAAAGCCCAGGGCUCAACCUUGGAACUGCAUACGAUACUGGCAAACUAGAGUGUGAGAGAGGAUAGUGGAAUUUCCGGUGUAGCGGUGAAAUGCGUAGAUAUCGGAAGGAACAUCAGUGGCGAAGGCGACUGUCUGGCUCAACACUGACGCUGAGGUGCGAAAGCGUGGGUAGCAAACGGGAUUAGAAACCCUAGUAGUCC